CUAGGGAUGAUAUAGGACCUCUAAUUAAAUAAUGUAAGGAAAAUAUUACAACUCUCUCUGUUAGAUCCAAAAUGCCUAAUUCGUGUUCUCUAAAAUUAAAGAAUGAAUUCUAGGAACCAUGGAGUUUAAGAGUAGGGAAUAUUUAUUGAGGGGAAGACAGCUCCCGCCUGAGAGGGACAGGAGAGGACACCCAGAAAGUGGGUUGCCCAGGACCCCACUUCUUAGGGUACUGUCAUGGGACAAAGCCAUGAAACGAGGCAGGUACAAAGUGGGACAAAACUACAGUCAAUUAAUAAGAUCCAGUGGAAAAUCACAAAAUGGGUAUGAGGUGGGACAAAACUAUGGUCAACCAAUAAAAUUAUAAGUAUAUAGUUACUUAGGUAAUGUAUUACUUUUCUCUCAUUGUUGAGACAAAAUACCUGACACCCAGAGUUAAAGGGGGAAAGGUUUAUUUAGCUCACAGUUUGUAGAGUUUUCAGUCCAUAAUCGACUGGCUCCAAGCAGGGUGCACAUGGCAGAGGGGCAACAGUUCACAGCGGUGGAAGUUAGCAAAGGCCACAAGAGAGCUUGAUGGCGUCUUCCUGCUCCUUUUAUUUUAUUCAGACCACUGGGAUUGGGUGGUGCCAAACCUAUCGCUCAUGUGUAGUGGUUUAGUAAUCACACACCCCUAAUUCAGACAUCUUACACUCUAGAUUCAGCCACCUCCCAAAUAGCCUCACCUUGUGCUCAUUUCAGCAGCACAUAUAUAAAAUAGCCCCACCUCAUUCGCAUGAGGCUUUGGGGGGACAUCUAAACACAAGCCAUAACUGGUAAUAUUGAUUAAAUGGGGAUCAAAUGAGAGAGCAAGUCAUGUAGCCAAGAUUUCCGGGAAGGAAUGGUUUUGAGCCCACCCAAGGUGAUUGAUGCCUAUUUAGAAUAUCAAUCACUGCUGUUUAUCCCUAGGGGAUGUGAGUGUAAUGGUCCUCUUUUUUGAAUCCUGGCCUUUAGUAAAUGUGCCUCAGUUGUCGUUUGUAUUGACACUCUAGAGGCCCAGCCCUGUCUAACUGCCUAUAAAUAUCUAAUUAACUUAGCUGGCUACAAUAGCAGCAGCUGUUACCCCAGUCCCACAAAGGCACCUUCUCACAAAUGCAGUCUCAGGUCAGAGGUGUUAAAGAAAAGCGUAGGCAGCCUUGGUUUGGAGCGAGUUCCUGCACUAGCCCAGCAGGUCUGGUCAGCAUGGAGUUCAAUCACAGCACGAGCAGCAGGCACUCGUGGGCUCUGUAACCAGCUGACAGAUUAAUUAAGCUGCCACCACUUGCACUGUCUCUAUACCUCACUCCGGUCUUCUUAAUUAGGCAAAUUAAGUGCUGCCUAAUUUGCUAGCUCCAGUUCUUAGAACCUGUUUGGUUCUGAGGGUGCCCUGAUUUGAGAAUUGUUUUCUUUGCUCAAAUAAACUUUUUAAAACUCAAUUUGCCUAUGAUUUUUCUUUUCCUUUUUAUGGUGUUAUCAUUGAGCCACAUCCCCAGCCCAGGUCUUUUUC
rnacentral:lncRNA from 1 species